rnacentral:rRNA from 1 species
GUGGGGAAUAUUGCACAAUGGGCGGAAGCCUGAUGCAGCAACGCCGCGUGCGGGAUGACGGCCUUCGGGUUGUAAACCGCUUUCAGCAGGGACGAAGCGCAAGUGACGGUACCUGCAGAAGAAGCACCGGCUAACUACGUGCCAGCAGCCGCGGUGAUACGUAGGGUGCGAGCGUUGUCCGGAUUUAUUGGGCGUAAAGAGCUUGUAGGCGGUUGGUUGCGUCGAAAGUGCAAACUCAGGGCUUAACUCUGAGCCUGCUUUCGAUACGGGCUGACUGGAGGGAGGUAGGGGAGAAUGGAAUUCCCGGUGGAGCGGUGGAAUGCGCAGAUAUCGGGAGGAACACCAGUGGCGAAGGCGGUUCUCUGGACCUUUCCUGACGCUGAGAAGCGAAAGCGUGGGGAGCAAACAGGCUUAGAUACCCCGGUAGUCC